ACUUUGCUUGGGUGGGCACAUGUUUUCUAGACUUAGGAAGCUUGUAAGUGACCUUGAAGUUCCUUGGGUAGGUUAACCAUUGCAUUGAAAAUUGGAGGUACUUAAAGCACACUUUAAAACUGUCAUUUACUCACAGUAAAGUAAAGUUUUAUUGGGAUAUUGAAGAGUUAGUAAUGUAGGGUCUCCUUGGGUGGUUAGUGAAGGGUUGGUGAGGUUUAGAGUUAGUUCUACUUAAGUGUGUAAGUUUAAGUUAGUAGGGUUAGGGGGGAAAAAACAAAACACUUGGAGAGUGGAAAAGAAAGAGAGAACCGUGAGUUGGAGAGACACUCUUGGAGAGCAACCAAGUUGGUGAGAGAAAAGAAGAGUCAACCUAGCCUUGGAGUUUUUGGACGUCACUUGUGGGAGACCAAGAGGAGUGAAAGCUUGUUGUCUAGUGAGAAAAGAAACCUAAAAGCCCUUGGAAGCUAGCUUGGAUUUGAGGUAAGGGGUUUAACUUGGGAUAUAAUAUGGUGUAUGAUGGGUAUAAGGUAACAUGAUAAUGUGGAUGCAUGCUUUCUUUCUUCUGUGUUGAGAUUAAAGUUAAUAUGUUGAUGCAUGCUCUCUCUUUUUGUGUUUAGUUUCAUGUGUUGUUGUAUGGAGAAUGAUUANUUUCAUGCAUUUUCAAAAUGG
rnacentral:lncRNA from 1 species